GCGCCUGUAGCUCAGCUCGGAUAGAGCAUCGGACUUCGAAUCCGAGUGUCGGGGGUUCGAAUCCCUCCAGGCGCGCCA
rnacentral:tRNA from 1 species